GUCGUUCUGGCGCAGCGGUAGCGUGGUGGGCCCAUAACCCACAGGUCGGGGGAUCGAGACCUCCGAACGACA